UUUUGACAUGCCUGGACCGCCACGGAGACGUGGCUUUCCCUUCGGGGACUAGGACACAGGUGCUGCAUGGCUGUCGUCAGCUCGUGUCGUGAGAUGUUGGGUUAAGUCCCGCAACGAGCGCAACCCUUGCCAUUAGUUGCUACAUUUAGUUGGGCACUCUAAUGGGACUGCCGGUGACAAACCGGAGGAAGGUGGGGAUGACGUCAAGUCCUCAUGGCCCUUAUGGGUAGGGCUUCACACGUCAUACAAUGGCGGAUACAGAGGGUUGCCAACCCGCGGGGGGGAGCCAAUCCCAGAAAGUCCGUCGUAGUCCGGAUCGGAGUCUGCAACUCGACUCCGUGAAGUCGGAAUCGCUAGUAAUCGCGGAUCAGCAUGUCGCGGUGAAUACGUUCCCGGGCCUUGUACACACCGCCCGUCACACCAUGGGAGUGGGUUUCACCAGAAGCAGCUAGCCUAACCGCAAGGGGGGCGGUUGCCACGGUGAGAUUCAUGACUGGGGUGAAGUCGUAAUCAAGGUAACCGUA
rnacentral:rRNA from 1 species